rnacentral:rRNA from 1 species
GGAGGGCAAGUCUGGUGCCAGCAGCCGCGGUAAUUCCAGCUCCAAUAGCGUAUAUUAAAGUUGUUGUGGUUAAAAAGCUCGUAGUUGAACCUUGGGCCUGGCUGGCCGGUCCGCCUCACCGCGUGUACUGGUCCGGCCGGGCCUUUCCCCCUGUGGAACCCCAUGCCCUUCACUGGGCGUGGCGGGAAAACAGGACUUUUACUGUGAAAAAAUUAGAGUGCUCCAGGCAGGCCUAUGCUCGAAUACAUUAGCAUGGAAUAAUAGAAUAGGACGUGUGGUUCUAUUUUGUUGGUUUCUAGGACCGCCGUAAUGAUUAAUAGGGACAGUCGGGGGCAUCAGUAUUCAAUUGUCAGAGGUGAAAUUCUUGGAUUUAUUGAAGACUAACUACUGCGAAAGCAUUUGCCAAGGAUGUUUUCAUUAAUCAGGAACGAAAGUUAGGGGAUCGAAGACGAUCAGAUACCGUCGUAGUCUUAACCAUAAACUAUGCCGACUAGGGAUCGGACGAUGUUAUUUUUUGACUCGUUCGGCACCUUACGGGAAAC